rnacentral:rRNA from 1 species
UGGGCAACCUGCCCCUAGCUCUGGGACAACUCCGGGAAACCGGGGCUAAUACCGGAUACGACCUCGGAAGGCAUUUUCUGAGGUGGAAAGUUUUUCGGCUAGGGAUGGGCCCGCGGCCUAUCAGCUUGUUGGUGAGGUAACGGCCCACCAAGGCGACGACGGGUAGCCGGCCUGAGAGGGCGACCGGCCACACUGGGACUGAGACACGGCCCAGACUCCUACGGGAGCA